GGCGUGAUGGCAGAGCGGUCUAAUGCGAUAGACUAGAACCUACAAAGUUCCAGUUAUCUAUUCUCUUCGGAGGCGCAGGUUCAAAUCCUGCUCACGUCG
rnacentral:tRNA from 1 species